rnacentral:ncRNA from 1 species
CCGGUUCCGGUUCACGCUUGUGCAUCAUUAACGCAGGCGACCCGGCGGCC